CACUGUAACGUUUUGUGUGUGUUUAUGCUGUAUUAAUAUCAGUUCAAUUUACUAGGGGGGAAAAGCCAGAUAAUCCACCUGGAUAAUCCACGUAAUUGUCUCAGGUGUCUCAAUUAAAUUAUAUCUUAACUGACCUCAUAAAUUUCAUUAAUAAAUGUAUAGCUAUAAAUAAACGUCAUCAUCUGUUUAUAGGCUAGUUCUUUAUACAAUACAGUUGGUCAAAGCAGCUUUUACAGUGUUAAAUAGGAAAAACGUAGGCCUAAUAUUUUAUAUAGGCUAUAUUACACAUUUUAAAUAUUUUAUUGUAGGCCUAUGUGACCAUUUCAUGACUUAUUCUUAUGACACGUGUUAACAAAAAUAUGCCGUCUCAGAACCCAUUCAUUUUACUGCAUUGAGCUGAAUAGUAAUAAAAAAAGCCUCAUAUUAUAAGGCCAACAAUGCACUAAUUAAGCAAAACCAUGUUUCAUGCGACGAUACGUGAUUUCUUUUGUUUAUUUUUUAAACAAGACAUUUCAGCAUCUGAAGAUUUGCAUUACAUCCGAAGGCAGGAGGGUGAAUCGGUGGACAUUGAUUGUGUUGCAGAAGACGGUGAACCCCGGCCAUCGCUUCUGCACCUGAGACGAAGGUUUGCUCCUUCAGAAAGUGUGCUGAACAUCUCUGAAGAAGUCGUGAGAGCAGAUCCAGAGACUGAGGGACGAAUCAGUAUCUCCGGAAAACUGAAUUUACGCACAGUUACUCUGACGCUUUCUCAUUUAAGAGCCACAGACACGGGGCUUUAUGUCUGCGAUUUCUCAGGAGAUCCAUCAAAUCCGCCCUCGGCGAACACAGCUCUCUUUCUGCUGGUAAAAGCGGCAGGUUCGUGCUCCUGUAGGAGGUAUUCUCUGCUCAUCUAUACCAUCACAGUAGGAAUGAGUCUGCUCCUACUCUCGGCCAUCGCUCUCUUUGUGACACAUUAUAAAAAGUCAUAUGCUGAGCCAGAGCGUCAAACCACAGCUCCAAUUUAUGAAGACAUGUCAAGUGUGAAAGGAAACGGAAGCAGUGUAAACGGUCAUUGGAUCCAUCCAUCAGCCCCAGAAACAUCUGCGAUGCUGGAGAACCUCUACAGAUCCCCCAAACAGACAAAUGUGGAACAGCAUCAGGAAAAAGAAUCAUAAGAAUCAGCUUAAUAGUAAUAUUAAUAAUUGCUGUUAUUAUAACUAGCAAUAAAUAGUUGUUGUUCUUCAUUAAAACUGCAUUUCCAAUCCUUCUUUAACCCACUUGUUUUAGAAGAGUAAUUUUAGAUAAAGCAGGGUGAAUACAGGCUGGUUACUUUCUGAUAAUUUGUCAUGGGCAUUAUUUUUUUAUAUCAUCGCACACUAUUUUUCAGUCUAUCAGAAAAAAACUGACAGGUUAUUAAGACUCCCACCUGUAUGCAUCCUAUAGCCCAUAACACUGCAGGUUACUGAUGUCUACUACUGAGAAAUGACCAAACCAAAGUCAUUACAGCCAAGAACAAAAAUUGCAAUUUAUUAAUUGUUUGAAAGAAGCUCCAUAGUUCAAAACAUUUUUUUUCGGUGCAUGUCAACAAUCACAUUCUAUGAGGAGAGAAAAAGAGAGAGAAAACAAAAACAUUAAAAGCCACUGACUUCUUAAAAUCUCAGUACAGACUUAUUCCUUAACAUUUAAAAUCAAAAGGCAAAAGUAUCAACCCAGUAUCUCCAUCCACACUCAUCCCAGCAGCACACACUCAGUCACGCACGCACACACACACAUGCACGCAGAACACAGACAACCUUGAAAGUCAUGGGCUACAAAAAAACCCCACAGUGCUUCAGAAUGAGACGUUCAUUGGUUUAGGAAUACACAGCAUGGCGAUGUACUGUAUGUAAGAAACAUGAAAAAUGGGAAAUAAGAUGGGGUCUGUGGGGGAGGGAGACAACAGAGCAAAUGAGCACAAUAAAAAGACACAGAAAGAACCCCUCUCAUCCCAAUGACAGAUGGGUCACAGAGGCUUUAAGAAGCCCAUCCCCUUGUGCAUAGAUCAUGAUCCGUAUAAACCAGCUUUUUUUUCUUUUUUAAAUCGAUCAAUUUGAUACAGAACCCCCCCCACCCCCCAACUCCUCUUUUUAAUUUCUCAUUAUGUAAUACCCGCCACAAGAGACAGAAUGACAAAGAGGAAAGAAAUAGUAAUGCACAAUGGUCCUGAUUUCAACAGGAAGGGACCUCAUGUUAAGAAAAUUACAAUAAAGAUUCAAACAUACAGCAUUUGUAUGUUCUUUCACUGUCUUUUGAACAAUCAAAAUCAUUGAUCAUUUUGUUUAAAAUGUAAAGCAAUUUCAAUAUAUAGAUUCAUAUAUAUAAAGCACUCCAUUUUUUAAAGUUCAUUAAGAGUUCAUUAUUUGGUAAAUAUGUAACUGCUACGGAUUUAGAAACAAAGGUAUUUUCUUCUUCUGAAAUCCAUAACCCUUCAGUGCUUACGUUUUUUUUUUUUUCUUCUGUUAUCCCCUUUCUCUAAAAACGAACAUUAAAUGGCGUGGAGUUGGUACUCUGGAACCCUUGCCUUCCUGAGACAUGAUCCACUUUUUGUGUGUGCAAGAUAGUGAACAUUUAUGUCUUUUCUCUUUUUUUUUCAACAAAGGAAAUGUUUUUUUGCUUUGAAAAAAAUAAAAAAUACAGGCUUUGAUAAUCUAUGAAAGCAACAUAGCCAACAUAAAUAAAAAAGAACAAAAACAUGACAACACUGAUCAAUCCCAGAGUUCUGCAAGUAGCACAAUAAUCUUCAUUCCGUAAAGUGUUUUUGUUAUUCAUCUGAUGGAAGUAUAUGUCUCUUCUCAUGACAAUCCCAUAGUCCCUUGAACUUCAGAAAAACAUGAAAUGCUUGUAAACUGUUGGUGGCCUUGCACAAAGAAGAUAGUGAACAAAAACAGGUACGAACAUUAGAAAACCCAAAAAAAAAAAACCAAAAAAAACCGCUGAUCAAUCCCAGAGUUCUGCAAGUAGCACAAUAAUCUUCAUUCCGUAAAGUGUUUUUGUUAUUCAUCUGAUGGAAGUAUAUGUCUCUUCUCAUGACAAUCCCAUAGUCCCUUGAACUUCAGAAAAAACAAUGAAAUGCUUGUAAACUGUUGGUGGCCUUGCACAAAGAAGAUAGUGAACAAAAACAGGUACGAACAUUGACCAAAAAAAAAAAAAAAAAAAAAAACCCAAAAGGUAGGCACCUCUGAAAUGAGUCUUGUAACAAACUCUUCUCCAGAUGUCUAUCCAGCUCAUCAUGGCCCCACAUUUUAUAUAAUCUUUUUUUUUUUUGUUAGAAUUUUGCAUUUUUUUUCUGUUCAUAAUCUGAAAAACAAAAUGGUGCAAUACUCAAAAUAAUCCAUUUCUUUAUCAUGGAUUAUUCCACAAUAAAAGCCACUAUAAGGUAGAUAAUCGUAUUAUAGAUAAAAAAUAAAACACACACACACUUGUUAUUUUUUCUCAAUAAGUCCUUGAGUAAACAUUAACACAUGAAUUGUCACCUUGUCCCCUCAGUACUUUAAUAUCAUGUUGUACGAUUAGCUGAAUGAGGGGAAGCAGACACUCAGUGCAACUCUAAUAACAAAGCGUAGUGUUCUACAUGCUUCUGCCCGUGACUGGUGGGAGACAGUGAGAUUUCAAAUUGACACCUGGGAAGAUUUUCAGCAAGUUUUUUUAGCUGUCUUUUUGCCAGAAGACUAUCAAGAUGUGUUGAAGGAUCAAGUAUGAAAUCGGUUACAAGGGGCAAGUGAAAGUGUCCGUGACUUUACAUUAUCAUUUCAAGCUUUAAGUGUUGGAAAAAGGAAGCUACUGAGGAUGAGGUUUUAAAGGCCCUAUUAAAAGCUAUGAAUCCUUGUUUUGCUAGUCAGCUUCGAGGUCGUGCCCAGACUUUUGGAGAACUGGUGAGACUGGGGACUCAAAUGGAGAGAGAUUUUGAUCUUCAGAGAAGGUAUAAUGAGAGCUGAUGCACAUCUUCUGAAGGGGUGGUUGAGAGGUUUUGUUUCUUUGCCUCGUAUGCUUAGGGGAGUUUAUUUGCAGGAGGACAAAGUGAACUACAGGGCCUGCUAUAGUUCAACAUCAAACCUACAACAUAGCCUCUAUUUGGUGGCUUAUGCACCGUGAGCGUUUGCACCUAGCCGCUCCACUCUACUGCUCAUGCUCACCGGAAAAGCAAGAGAAUUUCUAUGUAGCAUAUUUGUUCCUGUUUGCAAUAGCACUACUGUGCUUUAAAAUGGUGUAGUAGAGCUGUACUGCGCAACACUGGUAAAAAUGACGCUACCGCCUUGUGAUGCUAUGCUCGGCUCACAUGCUCUGAUAAUAAUAGCUUUGUAAGACUAUACAUUAUUUGGAUUAUUAAAUUAUUGUUACUUUUAUGCUCACCAAAGUUAGUACUAAAAAUAUAUAAUAUUACUAUUUAAAUGUAAAAAUGACGCUACCGCCUUGUGAUGCUAUGCUCGGCUCACAUGCUCUGAUAAUAAUAGCUUUGUAAGACUAUACAUUAUUUGGAUUAUUAAAUUAUGUCUUUUAUGCUCACCAAAGUUGCUAAAAAUAUAUAAUAUUACAUUUUAAAAUGUAUUUUCAGCCAUCAUUACUCCAGUUUUCAGCAUUACAUGAUCCUUCAGAAAUCAUUCUAAUAUGAUGAUUUGCUAAACAUUCCUUCCUAAUAUUAAUGUUGAAACAGUUGUGCUUCUUAUGUUUUGUGGCAACCAUGAUUUUUUUUCUAGGUAUUCUUUGAAUCAUUCUGAUAUGAUGUUUUGCUAAAGAAAUAUUUAUUAUCAUCAAUGUAGAAAGCAGUUGUGUUGUUUAAUAUUUUUGUGGAGACCCUGCUACUUUUUUCAUGAUACUUCACUGGAUAGAAGGUUUAAAAGAACAGCAUUAAUUUGAAAUAGAAACUAAAAAAAAAUAGUUAGCAUCAAAAAGUCUGCUUACUUAGAAAUGUAAUAUCACACUUUUCCUCAACAAGCUUCAUGAUCUAAUUUUUCACACCUAAAAAUAUUCUGGCUUCAGUACAAGCUGAGCUUAAUCAACAGCUUGUGUGGCAGUGAGACACUUACAAUGCAACUAAAUGGUGCCAAUUAGUAAAUGUUAAAAUGUAGUUUAAUUUAAUAGUAUAGCUACAAAAUGUAGAGCAAAUGAGCACAAUAAAAAGACACAGAAAGAACCCCUCUCAUCCCAAUGACAGAUGGGUCACAGAGGCUUUAAGAAGCCCAUCCCCUUGUGCAUAGAUCAUGAUCCGUAUAAACCAGCUUUUUUUUUCUUUUUAAAUCGAUCAAUUUGAUACACGAACCCCCCCCACCCCCAACUCCUCUUUUUAAUUCUCAUUAUGUAAUACCCGCCACAAGAGACAGAAUGACAAAGAGGAAAGAAAUAGUAAUGCACAAUGGUCCUGAUUUCAACAGGAAGGGACCUCAUGUUAAAGAAAAUACAAUAAAGAUUCAAACAUACAGCAUUUGUAUGUUCUUUCACUGUCUUUGAACAAUCAAAAUCAUUGAUCUAUUUUGUUAAAAAUGUAAAGCUAAUUUCAAUAUAUAGAUUCAUAUAU
rnacentral:lncRNA from 1 species